AAUAUUGCACAAUGGGGGAAACCCUGAUGCAGCGACGCCGCGUGAGCGAAGAAGGCCUUCGGGUCGUAAAGCUCUGUCCUAAGGGAAGAAACGGACGGUACCUUAGGAGGAAGCCCCGGCUAACUACGUGCCAGCAGCCGCGGUAAUACGUAGGGGGCGAGCGUUAUCCGGAAUUAUUGGGCGUAAAGGGUACGUAGGCGGCUUUUUAAGUCAGAUGUGAAAGACCACGGCUUAACCGUGGGGUUGCAUUUGAAACUGGAAGGCUUGAGUAUCGGAGAGGGUAGUGGAAUUCCCAGUGUAGCGGUGAAAUGCGUAGAUAUUGGGAGGAACACCAGUGGCGAAGGCAGCCCCCUGGGAUAAUACUGACGCUCAGACACGAAAGCGUGGGGAGCAAACA
rnacentral:rRNA from 1 species